rnacentral:rRNA from 1 species
UGAGGAAUAUUGGUCAAUGGACGGAAGUCUGAACCAGCCAAGUAGCGUGCAGGAUGACGGCCCUAUGGGUUGUAAACUGCUUUUAUACGGGGAUAAAGUUAGGGACGUGUCCCUAUUUGCAGGUACCAUACGAAUAAGGACCGGCUAAUUCCGUGCCAGCAGCCGCGGUAAUACGGAAGGUCCAGGCGUUAUCCGGAUUUAUUGGGUUUAAAGGGAGCGUAGGCUGGAGAUUAAGUGUGUUGUGAAAUGUAGACGCUCAACGUCUGAAUUGCAGCGCAUACUGGUUUCCUUGAGUACGCACAACGUUGGCGGAAUUCGUCGUGUAGCGGUGAAAUGCUUAGAUAUGACGAAGAACUCCGAUUGCGAAGGCAGCUGACGGGAGCGCAACUGACGCUUAAGCUCGAAGGUGCGGGUAUCAAACAGG